UUAUAAAUUCAAGAUGGCCGCCGCUACAAAAUGGCGGAUAAUUUAUGUUUUAUUAAUCCCAUCAAUAUGGGUAUCAAAUGAAAGGGCUCAACAAGCAGAAUACAAUAUACUAUAAAAAAUUGAAAUCCAAGAUGGCCGCCGCUACAAAAUGGCGGAUAACGUAGGUUUUAUCGAUUCCAUCAAUAUGGGUAUCAAAUGAAAG
rnacentral:misc_RNA from 1 species